UGACCCGAAAGAUGGUGAACUAUGCCCGAACAGGGUGAAGCCAGGGGAAACCCUGGUGGAAGCCCGAAGCGAUUCUGACGUGCAAAUCGAUCGUCUGAUUUGGGUAUAGGGGCGAAAGACUAAUCGAACCAUCUAGUAGCUGGUUCCCUCCGAAGUUUCCCUCAGGAUAGCUGGAACCCGUGUGUGCAGUUUUAUCAGGUAAAGCGAAUGAUUAGAGGUCUUGGGGUUGAAACAACCUCAACCUAUUCUCAAACUUUAAAUAGGUAAGACGUCCGACUUGCUUGAGUGAAGCCGGACCUCGAAUGCAGGGUUCCUAGUGGGCCAUUUUUGGUAAGCAGAACUGGCGAUGCGGGAUGAACCGAAAGCGGGGUUAAGGUGCCAAAGUCGACGCUCAUCAGACCCCACAAAAGGUGUUGGUUGAUCCAGACAGCAGGACGGUGGCCAUAAAAGUCGGAACCCGCUAAGGAGUGUGUAACAACUCACCUGCCGAAUCAACCAGCCCUGAAAAUGGAUGGCGCUCAAGCGUCGCACCCACACCCCGCCGUCGGGCCGAGCUGGCUGGCCUGACGUGUAGGAGGGCGCAGCGGUGGUGUUGCAGCCUAAGGCGUGAGCCUGGGUCAAACCGCCGUU
rnacentral:rRNA from 1 species